AGUGGCGGACGGGUGAGUAACGCGUGGGCAACCUGCCCCAUACAGGGGGAUAACAGUUAGAAAUGACUGCUAACACCGCAUAAGCGCACAGGGCCGCAUGGCUCGGUGUGAAAAACUCCGGUGGUAUGGGAUGGGCCCGCGUCUGAUUAGCCAGUUGGCGGGGUAACGGCCCACCAAAGCGACGAUCAGUAGCCGACCUGAGAGGGUGACCGGCCACAUUGGGACUGAGACACGGCCCAAACUCCUACGGGAGGCAGCAG
rnacentral:rRNA from 1 species